UGCGGCACCUCUCUUGCCAGCCUGUAAAUAGGACCCCACGAGCCUUGCUGAAGCCAUCACUUCUCGACCUCACCAAAGCCACGCUUAAGCCACCCGGUGGGCUUCGGGAAGGUCAUCUUCCCCGCCUCCGGCCGCCCGAUUUAGCUUCGGGUUUCGGUUAAAUUUGAGCAGGUGAAUGCAUCCCCGCUGCCCAAACUCAGCCAACAUGCUGCUAGAGAAACCGUCCUUCUAACCCGCGCUUCAGUUCGGAGUUUGGAGGCUUCUCCGACGAGAUCCACGUGCACCCAAAAACGUAGCUCGCCGGAGUUGGAUCUGCCGUUGACGAGGUGCUCUCCGGCGACUGCCUCCACCUCCAUCAGUUGCGGAAUCACCCAAUAUGAAUGAAGGAGACCUCAUGGACGAAGAGUACGAUAGCGAGUCCGAUGCCUAGAGGAGUCCCAAUCAGUCUUGCUAUCUUGGAGUCUGUCGUUGUAUAAUUUCACCACCUCCGCCACCACGAAUAAAUAGUCAAGCCUCGCUGUGAUGCUUGGUGUGUAGUAGUACUUAAGCUGUGUCACUUCACUCCAAUGUGGCAUGCCUACCUAUUGAUGCGAGCAGUAGAGAUUACCCCCAUGACCACUGUGAUAUAUCCGCCCUUAUGCUAAGUAUGGGUGUAUUGUAAUACUAUUGAGCAGCCUCUACUCUACCUUGUUUAAUAGUAAGUACUACUGGUUUUCUA